UGUCGACACACAUCCUGCUUAUCUCAAUU
rnacentral:piRNA from 1 species